rnacentral:misc_RNA from 1 species
UCAGGAUGAAUCAAAGAACUGAGUCAUUAUUGGCAACAAUGAUGAUGACAAGUCGACGACGACGCGGCAGAAACAAUAUUCAUCUUUGGAGUUUACAGAAAUUUUCUUAGGUUUUUGUCUGUUCAUUUAUAUACUAUUUAGGUAUCUGCAAUAAUAGAUUUUGUAUUGACCCCUCAAAGUGGCUUCUCUGUUGAAGUCUAUAAAUGUGU